CCCUUAGAUGUUCUGGGCCGCACACGCGCUACACUGAAGGAGGCAGCGUGUACUCCUGGAUCGAAAGAUUUGGGUAACCCGCGAAUCUCCUUCGUGCUAGGGAUUGAGGUUUGCAAUUAUCCUUCAUGAACGAGGAAUUCCCAGUAAGCGCAAGUCAUCAGCUUGCGUUGAUUACGUCCCUGCCCUUUGUACACACCGCCCGUCGCUACUACCGAUUGAAUGGUUUAGUGAGAUCUUCGGAUUGGAGUCCUCGGUGGCGGCGACGCCGCCUUGGGCAGCCGAGAAGUUGAGCUAACUGAAUUAUUUAGAGGAAGUAAAAGUCGUAACA
rnacentral:rRNA from 1 species